UUGGCCGAACUGUUCCCCCCUUUCCUUGGGAGGCGCGGGAGGAAGGAUGAAGGGGGAGGGAGGGGUGCUGGUUCCGGACAGGAGGAGCGGGACCAGGAAGAAGGGCCCCUUCGUCCAGCCACUGUGCUCCGCUCCAACCUGGAGGCCUUCAGACAGGAACUCUCCCAUCAUCCGGCCACCGAUGCAUGGAUUUGACAGCUUGGAAAAACAAGAACAAAAGAGAUGAUAACAUCCAGUGCUGUCAAGGACAUGAGACAAUUCCGCCCAUGACUGCCCACUGGAGUGGAAUUUAGUGAUGCUUCAUGGGAGGGCCUUUGGCAGUAAACCAUCAAAUAAAAAUGA